rnacentral:lncRNA from 7 species
ACUGUCAAAAAGACUCUGCUUAUCAAGUGAGUAACAAAGUGUGGACUGCCAGGCUGUUUCCUAUAGAAAACUUGCAUUUUACAUGUAAUUCUCAGCUAUCUUUCUGAUGCUUCCGAAACUUCUGAGGAGCAGAUGCAUGCUUUUCUAUUUAAGAAGCAGUGGGAAGCUGCCCUGCUGGGAGCAGCCGGCAGCACGGCCGGCCGGGGGCUGAGGGGACCUCCGAGUAAACCAGGGAGCAAGGGCAGGACUCUUCUUCUUCAUUCUCCUUCUCUCGCAGUUCAUUCUCUCUUCAAUCCUUGCCCCAGUCUGAGGACUGCCUUAGCAAAGCGAUGUGGCAAAAUGCAAGCAAAGGCAGAAGGGUCAGAGCACGAGGCAGCGCUUACCAGGCUUUUCUUUUUAAGUCAUUUCCGAGCUCAUGCCAGUCAGCAUUUAUCGCAGCACAGAAGUGUCUGAUGUGACUACAAACAUUAGUGAGCAGACCUGAAGGCAAUCUGAAGUCUGGAGAAGUGCAAAUAAGAGGUUAACAGCUUGUACCCCUGUUCACUGGAAAGAAAAUAGCCUCCACCCUGCUAAUGAUCCCUCAGGGGAGGCACCAUCAAGAGGCAACACUUCUUGUAGCAGAGAAAAGCCACGGCUGCUGCUGUCCCAGCAUGCAACAUCAGCCCUGAGAGUUAUCUGCAGCCCACAGACAUCAACUAAUCUCAGCGGGUGAGGAACGAAGCCUCUCCCCAUGGGAACUCAGCUGAUUCAGGGAGGGCGGUGAGCAGCAAAGGAGGUUUCUGAAAACAAACCACUGAGCUUCCCAGAGCCCCAAUAAUGUCCAUGCACUCCCCAGAGGGGAUUUGCAGAAAGACAAGAAUAUGGCUGGACAGAAAGACACACAGUUGGAAACAUCCAUUGAAUGUGGCACUGGGAACAGGGAAGAAGGCAAAAAGGAGACAUUUAUUCUUUUU